GUCCAGUCUAAACACUUUUAAAUACCACAAAUCCACAAUAACAAAAAUUAAUAUGGAAGAAAAACAAGACAGAGGAAUUAUUCAAAAAUAAACCUUUACACUGAGGAAUACAUUUUUUUAAGUACUGGUAAAGGUGUGCAAGAAUUAUUUACAUUUAUGAGACACAAAUAUUUGCGACAUAAAUAAUCAGGACUAGUUAAAUUGCUUUCAUUGUAGCAGUGGCAAAUGCCUUUUACAAAUACGCUGAUAUGAAAUGCCCAAAGAGAAUAGAUAGCAAUUGUACACAAACAUCUGUGAAGUUCCAAUACAUUACCAAACAAAAACGUUGUUUAAACAGGAACCGCCUUAACGAAGUGAGUGAUAGAAUUUAUGAAAAUAUCAUACAAAAUACAAUAGGCCGAGACACAAUGAAAUGCAAAAAGAACGUCAAAAAAAAAAAAAACAAAAAAAAAAACGCCUCUCUUACCUCAUCUUCAUUUUCUGUAACGUCAAUUGUUAUCAUGCUCGAGCCAAAAUGAAAACUGCGCUCCUUUUUCAGAGUCCCACCAGCAGGAAGCGUGUUUUCAUUAUAAGAGCUCACAAACUUAAAGUCACUGGUGCGCGAGCCGGUGGUUAGAUACGCGUCAUAAUUGUAAGAGCUGCGGAGAGUUCCUGCUCCAUCCACCUCUGCAUAGUUGGGAGGGAGAUAGGCGCUGGGAACAGCAACUGCUCCAUCAAACAACAGUCUGGGCUUUCUCCUGUGACAAAACUUUACUGCCACAAUCAGUAUGAUGAACGUCAGGAAGAAGGUGGACACGCAAACUAAUGCAAUGAUCAAAUAUGACGUCAGUUUAGAGUUGCUGUCCUCAUAAGUCAUAUCUUUAAGUUCAGGAACUUCAGAAAGGUUGUCAGAAAUGAGUAAAUUUACAGCACAGGUUGUAGACAGAGAGGGCUGACCGUUGUCCUUCACUGAAAUAACAAGGUUCUGCUUCAUAUUGUCAGAUUCAGAAAUGUCUCGUUGUGUUUUGAUGUCUCCACUAUGGAGACCAAUGGAGAAAAGUCCAGGAUCAGUAGAUUUGACAAUCUGAUAGGACAGCCAUGCAUUCUGUCCAGAGUCAGCAUCUACAGCGAUUACCUUGGACACCAGAGAGCCUGAGAGAGUCGCUUUAGGGACCAUUUCUGUCAUUAAAGACUUUCCAUCAGGAACAGGGUAUAAUAUCUGUGGAGAGUUAUCAUUCUCAUCUGUUAUGAAGACUUUCACAGUCACGUUACUGCUCAGCGGUGGAGAUCCAUUGUCUCUGGCAACAGCUUUGGCAGUGAAGUUUCUGAACUGCUCAUAGUCAAAUGAUCUUACAGCAUGAAUCACCCCUGUAUCUCCAUUAAUAGAUAGAAAUGAGGACACUGGGAUCCCGUUGACUUCACUGGGAACCAGAGAGUACAGUACAGUCCCGUUCUGUUUCCAGUCUGGGUCAUUUGCACUGACAGAACAAACAGAAGUGCCUGGUUUGUUAUUUUCACUUAUAUAAACAGCAUAUGUCUGUAACUCAAAUGUAGGGGAGUUGUCGUUGAUGUCUGAAACUUGUAUGUUCAGAGUUAGAUUCGAGAAUAAGGGGGGUGUACCUCCAUCCGUUGCUGUUAUUGUUACAUUAUAAUUUUCGAUUUGCUCCCGAUCAAGCGAACGAGUUGUAGUGAUAAUGAAAUAAGACUUGAUGUACGGCUGUAGUUGAAAUGGCAGACUUGAAGAAAUGGAGCAACUAACCCGGCUGUUUUCACCGGAAUCUUGGUCCUUCACGUUUAUUACAGCGAUCUCUGAACCAGGUGGAAUGUUUUCUGGGAUUUGUUUUUUCAGAGACUUUACUGAUAUAACAGGCGCGUUAUCAUUUAUGUCAUCUAUUUCAAUAACAACUUUACAGUGGCCUGUCUGACCUCCACCGUCCUCCGCCUGCACUUCCAUCUCGUACAACGAGGACUUGUCGUGGUCCAUCUGUCCAAUUACAGAUAUUUCUCCAUAAUUUUCGUCAAUUUUAAACAAUUCUUUUGUGUUGUCAGAUAGGUGAUUGAUAUAAUACGUUAUUUGUCCAUUUGCGCCCUCAUCAACAUCGGUCGCAGCAAUUCUGAUGACAGACGUUCCGAGUGCUGCAUUUUCGGAUAAACGAGUUUUGUACAAAGGCUGCGAAAAUACUGGUGCAUUAUCAUUCACGUCUAUCACGAACACUUCAAUAACAACAGUUCCAGAUUUCGGAGGAUUUCCCCCAUCCACCGCAGACAAUAUUAAGGAAUGCUCUCCCUUUGUCUCUCUAUCCAGGCUGUUUUUCAAAACAAUGUCCACAUACCUGUCUUUAUUUGAUUUUGUAUCAAGGACAAAAUAUUUGUUUUAACUAAGAAUAUAGGUCUGGACUGAAUUUAUUCCAACAUCCAAAUCGCGUGCACAAGCUAUUUGUAAUUUACUUCCGGUAGGUGCUGCUUCGCUUAUCUCUAGCUUAAUUGAAUCUUUAGGGAAAACAGGAGGGUUGUCAUUGAUAUCCUGGACCUCCAAAACAAUGUUAUGAAGCUCUAAAGGAUUUUCAAGAAUAAAUUCAAAGUGCACGAGGCAGGAGGAGGUCGUUCCGCACAGCAUCUCUCGGUUGAUCCUUUCUGAAACAAAAAGAUUUCCAGAAUCUAGGUCUACUUCACAAUAUAUUUUAUCCCCUUGGUAAUCCAAACGGGCUUUGCGAAACCUCAAGCGAUCGGAAUCCAUAUUAAGGUCCUUACUUAGACUUCCAAUAACAUAUUUUGUCUUUGUUUCCUCCGGCACAGAAUAACGAACAUCAGCAGCGGCAAUGCAGAAGAGAAGCGAUGUUAUCCAUAAUCGCCAUUUGGCCAAACGCAGUUUAGACAUUUUCGCCAUAUUUUCUUGGUGUAAUAAAGUAAAGCGUUGUUUUGAAACGCUGUUCACAAACAACCGAUUUAUUUCGUCGUCGUCUGCAUUGCUCUUUUGGACAAAUGUUAACAGAACAGAAAGAUUCCCGCACCAAUGGG
ensembl:lncRNA